rnacentral:rRNA from 1 species
CCUACGGGUGGCAGCAGUGGGGGAUAUUGCACAAUGGAGGAAACUCUGAUGCAGCGACGCCGCGUGAGGGAAGACGGUCUUCGGAUUGUAAACCUCUGUCUUUGGGGAAGAAAAUGACGGUACCCAAAGAAUAAGCUCCGGCUAACUACGUGCCAGCAGCCGCGGUAAUACGUAGGGAGCGAGCGUUAUCCGGAAUUACUGGGUGAAAAGGGAGCGUAGGCGGGCGAGAAAGUUGAAUGUUAAAUCUACGGGCUUAACUGGUAGCUGCGUUCAAAACUUCUUGUCUUGAGUGAAGUAGAGGCAGGCGGAAUUCCUAGUGUAGCGGUGAAAUGCGUAGAUAUUAGGAGGAACACCAGUGGCGAAGGCGGCCUGCUGGGCUUUAACUGACGCUGAGGCUCGAAAGCGUGGGGAGCAAACAGGAUUAGAUACCCGUGUAGUC